GGCUUAUUGAUAAUAAUUUUAAGUCUAUCUGCCCAAUGAUAUUAUAAUUAAAUGGCUGCAGUAUAAUUAACUGUACAAAGGUAGCAUAAUCAAUUGUUUUUUAAUUAAAAACUAGAAUGAAAGAAUUAAUGAGAUAUAUACUGUCUCAUAUAUAUAUAAUGAAAUUAAAUUUUUAGUAAAAAUGCUAAAAUAAAUUUAUGGGACGAUAAGACCCUAUAGAAUUUUAUAUUUAUAUUUAGAUUUAAAUUUGUUUUAAAUAUAAAUAUUUAAUUGGGAGGAUUGAUAAAUUUAAAUAACUUUAUUUAGAAUAAAACCUUUAAUUAAAGAAUAAUUUUUGAUCUUAUAUUAUAAAUUAAAAGAAAAAAUUACCUUAGGGAUAACAGCGUAAUAUCUUUUUAAAGAUCAUAUUAAUAAAGAUGAUUGCGACCUCGAUGUUGAAUUAAGAUAAAUUUUAAAUGGAGAAGUUUAAUAAUUAAGUCUGUUCGACUUUUAAAAUCUUACAUGAUUUGAGUUCAAAUCGACGUGAGU
rnacentral:rRNA from 1 species